rnacentral:rRNA from 1 species
GUGGGGGAUAUUGCACAAUGGGGGAAACCCUGAUGCAGCGACGCCGCGUGAGUGAAGAAGUAUUUCGGUAUGUAAAGCUCUAUCAGCAGGGAAGAAAAUGACGGUACCUGACUAAGAAGCCCCGGCUAACUACGUGCCAGCAGCCGCGGUAAUACGUAGGGGGCAAGCGUUAUCCGGAUUUACUGGGUGUAAAGGGAGCGUAGACGGCGAGUCAAGUCUGAUGUGAAAGGUGGGGGCUCAACCCCCAAACUGCAUUGGAAACUGGUUUGCUAGAGUGUCGGAGAGGUAAGUGGAAUUCCUAGUGUAGCGGUGAAAUGCGUAGAUAUUAGGAGGAACACCAGUGGCGAAGGCGGCUUACUGGACGAUCACUGACGUUGAGGCUCGAAAGCGUGGGGAGCAAACAGG